GACAGAGGGUGCAAACGUUGUUCGGAAUUACUGGGCGUAAAGCGCGUGUAGGCGGCCCUGCAAGUCGGGUGUGAAAUCCCACGGCUCAACCGUGGAAGUGCACUCGAAACUGCAGGGCUAGAGUCCUGGAGAGGAAGGUGGAAUGCUUGGUGUAGGAGGUGAAAUUCGUAGAUAUCAAGCGGAACACCGGUGGCGAAGGCGGCCUUACUGGACAGUG
rnacentral:rRNA from 1 species